rnacentral:tRNA from 5 species
GCCCCGGUGGUGAAAUUGGUAGACACAAGGGAUUUAAAAUCCCUCGGCCUAUGGCUGUGCCGGUUCGACUCCGGCCCGGGGCACCA